rnacentral:rRNA from 1 species
UGGGGAAUUUUGGACAAUGGGCGAAAGCCUGAUCCAGCAAUGCCGCGUGUGUGAAGAAGGCCUUCGGGUUGUAAAGCACUUUUGUCCGGAAAGAAAUCCUUGGCUCUAAUACAGUCGGGGGAUGACGGUACCGGAAGAAUAAGCACCGGCUAACUACGUGCCAGCAGCCGCGGUAAUACGUAGGGUGCAAGCGUUAAUCGGAAUUACUGGGCGUAAGGCGUGCGCAGGCGGUUUGCUAAGGCCGAUGUGAAAUCCCCGGGCUCAACCUGGGAACUGCAUUGGUGACUGGCAGGCUAGAGUAUGGCAGAGGGGGGUAGAAUUCCACGUGUAGCAGUGAAAUGCGUAGAGAUGUGGAGGAAUACCGAUGGCGAAGGCAGCCCCCUGGGCCAAUACUGACGCUCAUGCACGAAAGCGUGGGGAGCAAACAGGAUUAGAUACCCUGGUAGUCCACGCCCUAAACGAUGUCAACUAGUUGUUGGGGAUUCAUUUCCUUAGUAACGUAGCUAACGCGUGAAGUUGACCGCCUGGGGAGUACGGUCGCAAGAUUAAAACUCAAAGGAAUUGACGGGGUCAUAGCUGUUUCCU